AAAAGAAUGACUCGAUCAGAAGAAUGGCUCGAUGAAAAGAAUGACCAAAGAAAAAUUUGUGAUUGAGAGGGAAGAACAAAGAGCUGAGAGAGAAGAAAGAGCUUUAAAACUUUCGUGAGAUUGAUUUUCCGUCUAUAAAAUUUUCUCUUUGGGUUUAAUUUUUUAAUUUUUUUUAUUAUUUUUUUUAAUAUCCGUAUGUAAUAUCCGUAUAUAAGAAAAAUUUACUUAUA
rnacentral:lncRNA from 1 species